rnacentral:rRNA from 1 species
UAGUGAACCAGUACCGUGAGGGAAAGGCGAAAAGAACCCCGGCGAGGGGAGUGAAAAAGAACCUGAAACCGUGUACGUACAAGCAGUGGGAGCCCUGAUUUAUCAGGGUGACUGCGUACCUUUUGUAUAAUGGGUCAGCGACUUAUAUUCUGUAGCAAGGUUAACCGAAUAGGGGAGCCGGAGGGAAACCGAGUCUUAACUGGGCGUUAAGUUGCAGGGUAUAGACCCGAAACCCGGUGAUCUAGCCAUGGGCAGGUUGAAGGUUGGGUAACACUAACUGGAGGACCGAACCGACUAAUGUUGAAAAAUUAGCGGAUGACUUGUGGCUGGGGGUGAAAGGCCAAUCAAACCGGGAGAUAGCUGGUUCUCCCCGAAAGCUAUUUAGGUAGCGCCUCGUGAAUUCAUCUCCGGGGGUAGAGCACUGUUUCGGCAAGGGGGUCAUCCCGACUUACCAACCCGAUGCAAACUGCGAAUACCGGAGAAUGUUAUCACGGGAGACACACGGCGGGUGCUAACGUCCGUCGUGAAGAGGGAAACAACCCAGACCGCCAGCUAAGGUCCCAAAGUCAUGGUUAAGUGGGAAACGAUGUGGGAAGGCCCAGACAGCCAGGAUGUUGGCUUAGAAGCAGCCAUCAUUUAAAGAAAGCGUAAUAGCUCACUGGUCGAGUCGGCCUGCGCGGAAGAUGUAACGGGGCUAAACCAUGCACCGAAGCUGCGGCAGCGACACUGUGUGUUGUUGGGUAGGGGAGCGUUCUGUAAGCCUGUGAAGGUGUGCUGUGAGGCAUGCUGGAGGUAUCAGAAGUGCGAAUGCUGACAUAAGUAACGAUAAAGCGGGUGAAAAACCCGCUCGCCGGAAGACCAAGGGUUCCUGUCCAACGUUAAUCGGGGCAGGGUGAGUCGACCCCUAAGGCGAGGCCGAAAGGCGUAGUCGAUGGGAAACAGGUUAAUAUUCCUGUACUUGGUGUUACUGCGAAGGGGGGACGGAGAAGGCUAUGUUGGCCGGGCGACGGUUGUCCCGGUUUAAGCGUGUAGGCUGGUUUUCCAGGCAAAUCCGGAAAACUAAGGCUGAGGCGUGAUGACGAGGCACUACGGUGCUGAAGCAACAAAUGCCCUGCUUCCAGGAAAAGCCUCUAAGCAUCAGGUAACAUCAAAUCGUACCCCAAACCGACACAGGUGGUCAGGUAGAGAAUACCAAGGCGCUUGAGAGAACUCGGGUGAAGGAACUAGGCAAAAUGGUGCCGUAACUUCGGGAGAAGGCACGCUGAUGGUAGGUGAAGCGACUUGCUCGUGGAGCUGAAAUCAGUCGAAGAUACCAGCUGGCUGCAACUGUUUAUUAAAAACACAGCACUGUGCAAACACGAAAGUGGACGUAUACGGUGUGACGCCUGCCCGGUGCCGGAAGGUUAAUUGAUGGGGUCAGCGCAAGCGAAGCUCUUGAUCGAAGCCCCGGUAAACGGCGGCCGUAACUAUAACGGUCCUAAGGUAGCGAAAUUCCUUGUCGGGUAAGUUCCGACCUGCACGAAUGGCGUAAUGAUGGCCAGGCUGUCUCCACCCGAGACUCAGUGAAAUUGAACUCGCUGUGAAGAUGCAGUGUACCCGCGGCAAGACGGAAAGACCCCGUGAACCUUUACUAUAGCUUGACACUGAACACUGGUCCUUGAUGUGUAGGAUAGGUGGGAGGCUUUGAAGUGUGGACGCCAGUCUGCAUGGAGCCGUCCUUGAAAUACCACCCUUUAAUGGCUGGUGUUCUAACGUUGGCCCCUUAUCGGGGUUGCGGACAGUGUCUGGUGGGUAGUUUGACUGGGGCGGUCUCCUCCUAAAGAGUAACGGAGGAGCACGAAGGUUGGCUAAUCCUGGUCGGACAUCAGGAGGUUAGUGCAAUGGCAUAAGCCAGCUUGACUGCGAGCGUGACGGCGCGAGCAGGUGCGAAAGCAGGUCAUAGUGAUCCGGUGGUUCUGAAUGGAAGGGCCAUCGCUCAACGGAUAAAAGGUACUCCGGGGAUAACAGGCUGAUACCGCCCAAGAGUUCAUAUCGACGGCGGUGUUUGGCACCUCGAUGUCGGCUCAUCACAUCCUGGGGCUGAAGUAGGUCCCAAGGGUAUGGCUGUUCGCCAUUUAAAGUGGUACGCGAGCUGGGUUUAGAACGUCGUGAGACAGUUCGGUCCCUAUCUGCCGUGGGCGCUGGAGAACUGAGGGGGGCUGCUCCUAGUACGAGAGGACCGGAGUGGACGCAUCACUGGUGUUCGGGUUGUCAUGCCAAUGGCACUGCCCGGUAGCUAAAUGCGGAAGAGAUAAGUGCUGAAAGCAUCUAAGCACGAAACUUGCCCCGAGAUGAGUUCUCCCUGAGACUUUAAGUCUCCUGAAGGAACGUUGAAGACGACGACGUUGAUAGGCCGGGUGUGUAAGCGCAGCGAUGCGUUGAGCUAACCGGUACUAAUGAACCGUGAGG